CAACUACUCCCUCUGUCCCAAAUUUCUUGUCUUAGAUUUGUCUAGAUACAGAUGUAUCUAAUACUAAAAUGUGACUUGAUACAUCCAUAUCGAGACAAAUCUAAGACAAGAAAUUUGGGACAGAGGGAGUAGUUG
rfam:Triticum urartu cultivar G1812 contig840069, whole genome shotgun sequence.